UUGAUAUUGUAGUUUUCAUUUAUUACUCUGUACAGGUAUGUACAACUACCUUGACAAUACAUUUUCAUUAAAAUAAAAUGGAAAUUCUUCAUGGGGCAGAAAUUGACGUGUAGUGAAAUCUAGCGUUUUUGCUACGCUUUCACUACGAUGCCCACAUUGUGCGCAUAGCUUUAGUUUUGAUCAAUGAAACUCUCCUACAUGGCCAUUAUCCUCAAGGGAUACGUAUUUUUUUUUUAAUAUCUACAUUAGCUUUAGAUAACGACAGCUUUUAACAGCAUAGAUUAAGAGCCAUCUAUAUAAACGGGCUAUCAACAAACAUUACUGCUUAUCGGGUAAAUCUCCCGCAAAACGAGUUUCACUUCGGGUUUUUCUUUUCAGCGCUUUCUGGUUAAUUCCGUCGCGAUCGCCAUCUGGCCCGCUCGUCGCUUUCUAUCCUCUUAUUGCAUUUACUAUUUGGCUUUCCAAUUGGCCCCUAAGCAUACACAAGUUGCUGUUGGUCGGCUCGUGUGUAUUGCUUUGCCUUUUCUCCAUGUACAAGCUAUGCGCACAAUGUGGGCAUCGUAUUUGUUUUACCAGCACGUACCAACAGCUAACCAACAUAUAUCCCUAGUUGUUUAUGAUACUAACAUGGACACCGCCUAAUGUUCUCUGCGGACGGCUUAAUACUGAACUACGGCGUCCGUCAUCAGCCAGCCAACCGGCGAUAUCGCCUCCAUCACGGGCUAGGAGUGCGACGUAGGUGUCCCGCUUUCUCUAUUCCGCCCUCAAUCUGUAGUAAGGCGCUUACCCGUAGUGCGCGUCUACCUGUCAUUAUGGGCAAGCAACGUCCCUUUGUUCAUGCGCAUAUUUCUCUGCACGAGUGCAUAUGUGCAUGUAUAUUAGAAGAGACUUGUCGAACUCCGAUUUUAUCUUUACGGCCAAAUUUUACCGUACGCUCCAGGUCGCUCCCUCCUACGGUGAAUGAGUGGCGUACCAUCGUUUCUGUCAAGCUUCGAUGCCUUUUCUCGGCCCCUUUACCCUUCACCUGUCACUCUAUCUAUCUGCGAGUCCACAUUUCAUUCCGUAUUGCCGUUCCGAAGCGUUAUGUCUACCUGUUUUGAACCUAUGCCGGCCGUCGAGCACCUGGCCACCGCCAGUGGUCACGGUCCUUUAUCGGCGUUACCGUCCUGCUCAAAAAUGAGAGUAACAAAAUAGUAGCAUGUAUUAAACUAAUGAACGAUCCAACAUUUACCGCCUAUCCUUAACAAUGAUUCAAUGAGUCGAGGCUCUUCGAGACUAUGUAAUUGGAUCAACACCGCUAUCUUGUUCCGCGCUUACGCCCACCGUCGCUGUUAUCUUGCGGCGGAACGGCGAUGGCCUUCGCCACUACGACUGCCCUAGUUGCAAGGUUUCUUCGCGGUCGUCACGAAAUUAAGAGAACACGAUCAUUGUCGUAUUAGUGGUCCAGAUUAAGGCGGGUGCAAUAACGAUGUUGGUUGUAGUGGUGGACAUUGCUGACAUCAUAGUCGUUGUUGUUGUCGGCCUAGCGGGCGCGGGCGGUCGAGCGAGCGGAUGUACGAUAGCCAACAUCGUCGUAAUUGUUCCGGGAGUGCCAGCGGUCCAACUGGACGGAAUCAACGAGCGAGUUACCUCGUUCCCGUGUCUGGCUGUCUACCGGUAGUCACUUCAACCUAUGACGCUUUCAACGGACAACGCACCGUGUCCAGCAUUGCCGACUAACUUAAAUUUCAAACAAAAACAGUCAUUUUAUUGAACACCGAUUCCAGUGGAAGACCUAUCAAAGACAUGAUGUCGUCAAGGCUUCACUGACAUAUCAGUAGUUGGAAAAAAACAUAACCUUCCCUCCGAAGCAAGAUCGACAACAAUUUCUGGUGAUUCACCGCUGUUACCGCUAAAGCCAGCUGCAAUCAAGCUACGCUUUAGGUCGCACACAUCGAGUCCUAGGCUAUUUGGCUAGAUUACGCGGAAUGUGGGUUCAACAUUUUUGUCACCAGCAACCUGUAGAAAGACAAAAACGCCAACAACCCUUCGGCCAAAUCCUGUCUCCCCCUUAAUUCGGCUUCUCUCCGCACCUCACCCUUAGUUCGGCUCUUGGCCAGUGCCGAGUAGCGCGUGUGUGGGUCGAAUCGACGGCACCAUCCGUCAAUUUCGCGAAUCGGCCAACAAUAGCACCGACAGCGGCUGUUGGUGUGGUUUCUCUAUGCCUGUUUAUGGGUGAUGCUGUAUGUAGGCCGUAGGCUGCAGUAGGCGUGUGUUGCUCUGCAAGAGUCGUCCGUUCGUUGGCUGGCUUGGACAACCUAUCUGUUUCUAGCUAGGCCGUGCCCGUGUAACCCGUCGUAAGAGAGUUCUGCUGAUGAAAGCGAUUCAACAGUGAACGGUGGGUCGAUGUGUGUUUGGUGCUGAUUCCUGCUGGGCCGAUUGCUACGCCGUUGCCCCUCCUGUGGUGGCAGAACUGGUUGUUGAUUAGGAACGAAUCUUCGUCGCCGUCAUCAUCCGAGCAGUCUGAACGACCUGCCGCUGCUGCUGUUGUUACCGAGAGAUUUAGACCUGCCGCUGCUGCUGCUCACUUAAUGCUGUUGUUGGUGUGGCUAGUGCGAACAGCCGCAAUAGUUACAGCAUCGGCGGCACGGGCGCACGUUAGGCGGUGAACAGUAUCUGUAUUGUUUGCCUGCUUUCGGCAGUGUAAGUAAUACUUGUAGUACGAUAGCAUUACAGUAGCGUGCUAGAUGCUGAGGACCGACAGCGUUGCAACCGAUAGUAACGAAAUCAUUGGCUGAAAAAAGCAGCAGCAGCAGCAGCAGCAGUAGCAACACGAACAGAGUAAGCAACAUAAAGGUAGCGAAGCGGCGGCAACGAGCUAACUGGCUCGAACUCCGCUAAUUAGUAUCAGCUUUACAAGCAGCAGGAAUUGUGAAGGGAAAGCCACUCGAGCAGUGUCUGUUGACGCUAGCUAACUAGCUAGUUUUAGCCGGGGGUUGAUCUGUUGGCCCCCUUUUCGUGGACGAAUCUGAACAUCUAACGUAGUACUAGUAGCAGCAACCGUCACGACGCUUGCGGCGGGCGCGACGACAAACAUUCGUCGUCGUCGUCGUCGUCGUCGUUGUUCUUGUCUUGUUGUGCCCAACAUCAUUACCCACUCGUUGGCUGUUGCCGCUGUCGCUUAUUGCUAUAGUGGAAAUUGUUGUGGACGUUCUUAUAACAACUCUCUGGCGAUUAUAUUUGUUAGUCGCUGUGUUAUCGAUGCGGUGGCCGUAUGGACUGGGGAGGUGCGUGCGUUGCGUGUCGAGGCAAUAGGAGACAUUUUGCGUGACGUUACAUCACUAGUUGUCAUAGGCGACGGCGACGGCGGCGAAGGUUUUCGUACGAGAAACGACCGUGAAGCUGACUAACGGAGGAGGUGGAUAAUUUCGCUCGACGGCGUCAAAUGUAGCAGUAAGGCCGACAACGAGAAAACGAUGCAAAGUUAUCUCCGUAAGAACUUACACUACUGCUAGGUGGAAUACAAUCGAAGUCAUCACCAUCAUCAUCAUCAUCAUCGUCACUAGUAUCUCUGCGUGGUACGCACGCAACAACCCAGCCCCACCGGUGGCUACCGUUCGUUCUGGUAUCGACCAUCAUCAGAAUCUAAUUGUGGCCUUAGUGCGCGUCCCGUGUUUUCAGUCUGCCUGCCAGUCGUUAUUCAACGACAAAGACAUUGCAUUUAGCAGCAUUAAACUGUAGCAACGCGUUGUCGUCGUAUUUAUCGCGCUGUGUCUCUCUCGAGCAAAAAAAAAUCGAUUUCCGUUGAUCAGGACCGGUGCCUAAGUGCAAGUGAAGGUGCCGCUAGCAGGAACGGCGUCAUCGUACGACGUGAGGGUUCCAUCGGGUUUGAUCGUUUCCGCCGAAAUUUGUGCUUGCUUAUGCGAAAUCGUGAUUUGUGGCCGGUAUAUUGUAAGGUGCCAACUAGACAACUUCAAGAAUAACACCAAACGAUCCGGAGAAAGUGACCGCUGCUGGAGAGUGUCAGCAAACGCAACGACAAUACCGACGAUAACGAGUAAAAAGAGCAAAUCUGCACGACGACCAAAAGAGAACGAGGCAAAAGAAGCAACAACACAUUCAGAGAGGUGUCGACGGCGCGUCGAGCAUUGACUGCUACCUGUCUCAACGAGCACUUCAGUCGGAAAGAACAUAGUGACAGUGACGCAGAACGGCGUCGAGUAACGUGCGAUCCAAACGUGAUCGGUGACGCUAGCGACGCGAUAAAUAUCUAGGCAAUAGCGUCAAGACAUUCGUGAUUUAUUCACCGGUGUUCACUGCGUGUUUUGUGGUCGUUCCCGCCCGUGUUUAGGGUGUGUACGUGCAUGCCAGUGACAGCGGCAUUUGCCGUGGAGUUUCAAUAAUCGGUUGAAGCAGAGUAGUGUGUGAGACAUAGCUCGUGGUGAUUUUUCGUGGCACCUGCUCGCCAGUGUAGUAGUUUGUGCGCGUGGAAAUAGCCAUCCAGCACCAGCGUUCCAGUAGCUGCAACGCUGCCUGUGGACUUCGCAGCUGGUAAAAACGAAAAGAGAGUCCUUCAGAAGCCCAGGCUGUGACCUUACCCGGCGACUUUAUCAGCGCUUUGUCUUGCGUCAGAAUUAAAUGUCGGAACAAUAAUAACCAACCACAGCGAAAAUAGAGCUAUAUCUGAGCAGAACACUAGACUACCCAAACGCUAAACUUCGUAAAAAAAGAAUUUGGAAAAAGGAAAAGUUCUUCAGGAUUUUUCAGUCUCCUUUUGUGUCUAUUAAGAGCGAUUGUACCA